GUGACUCUUAUUUAAAAAAAAUAACUUAUGUGACAUCCCCUCAAUACUCAACGCUGGCCUGUGGAGAUACUUUUGUGAAUGAGAUGUUGCUCUUUACAGAUGUUGUGCUGUUUGCUAUGAACUCUUUUAUGAUGAUACUUGGCUACUACAGGAAAAUCAUCUUCACCAUCUUGAAGUCUCCAUCAGAAACAGGACAAGUCAUAGGCUCCUCCACCUGCUCAUCUCAUGUCAUAGUUGUGGCUUUAUUCUGUAGAUCCAGAAUCAUUACAUACAUAUGACCUAAAUCCAAACAUUCUUCCAUAAGAUGCAAAUUUUUAUCUCUUUUCUAUAUCAUUGUCAACUCAGUGUUUAACCUCAUGAUCUACAAUGUGAGGAAGAGAUUAAAAAUGGCUUUGUGAAAAUUCCUGCCUAUUUA
rnacentral:lncRNA from 1 species